UAGGGAAUCUUCCGCAAUGGGCGAAAGCCUGACGGAGCAACGCCGCGUGAGUGAUGAAGGUCUUCGGAUCGUAAAACUCUGUUAUUAGGGAAGAACAAAUGUGUAAGUAACUAUGCACGUCUUGACGGUACCUAAUCAGAAAGCCACGGCUAACUACGUGCCAGCAGCCCCGGUAAUACGUAGGUGGCAAGCGUUAUCCGGAAUUAUUGGGCGUAAAGCGCGCGUAGGCGGUUUUUUAAGUCUGAUGUGAAAGCCCACGGCUCAACCGUGGAGGGUCAUUGGAAGCUGGAAAACUUGAGUGCAGAAGAGGAAAGUGGAAUUCCAUGUGUAGCGGUGAAAUGCGCAGAGAUAUGGAGGAACACCAGUGGCGAAGGCGACUUUCUGGUCUGUAACUGACGCUGAUGUGCGAAAGCGUGGGGAUCAAACAGG
rnacentral:rRNA from 1 species